AUUGAACGCUGGCGGCAGGCCUAACACAUGCAAGUCGAGCGGAUGAAGGGAGCUUGCUCCUGGAUUCAGCGGCGGACGGGUGAGUAAUGCCUAGGAAUCUGCCUGGUAGUGGGGGAUAACGUCCGGAAACGGGCGCUAAUACCGCAUACGUCCUGAGGGAGAAAGUGGGGGAUCUUCGGACCUCACGCUAUCAGAUGAGCCUAGGUCGGAUUAGCUAGUUGGUGGGGUAAAGGCCUACCAAGGCGACGAUCCGUAACUGGUCUGAGAGGAUGAUCAGCCACCCUGUAAGUUAGCCCCGGUCCUUGCCCCUUCGGUGGGCCGCUGUGUGGAAUAUUGGACAAUUGGCGGAAGCCUCGUCCCAUCCAUGCGUCUGUGUGAAGAAGGUCUUCGGAUUGUCAAGCACUUUAAGUUGGGGCGAAGGGGCGUAAGUUAAUACCUUGCUGUUUUGCCGUUACCAACAGAAUAAGCACCGGCUAACUUCGUG
rnacentral:rRNA from 1 species